GGCCGUAGGAGGGGCUGGUGGUGGGCAGUCCCACAGCAGGGAUGUGUGGAGCACUGCUGGGACUCUCCCUGUGUGACUGGAGGAAAAUUAAGAUGUGAACUGGAAUUCCAUCAGGCUGUCUACUGUGAAGCCCCGUGGCUUUAGAAAAGGGGCAGUAGUGGUCAGAAAUGACACUCAAAAGCAAAUAACAGGGAAUUAGUAGAAUUCCAGUUCCUGUGGAAGAGAGAAGAUGAUUUUAUUUCACACAACCGUCUAAGGAAAACACUUGUGCCAUAAUAUUCCUCUCCGGAGGUGUCUUGCUGGAGGAACUGUCCCCGCUCCAGCCCCGAGGAGAACACUCUGAUGAAGACUCAUGUCUCUGUGCCACCACGGAAACUUCUCAGGCCAUUGUGUCAGUCUACUUUAGCUCCUUCAAGGAGCCAUCUCGCCGCUGCCAAGUGGAUUAGCUCCCGGAGGGGCUGCGGGCUCCCCCCGCCCAG